CAUGGGAAUAUUUGUUAAAGAUUCAUCGCUGAUAGAUAGGCAUGCGUUCCAUUAGGCAGUUGGCGGGGUAACGGCCCACCAAACCGACGAUGGAUAGGGGUUCUGAGAGGAAGGUCCCCCACAUUGGUACUGAGACACGGACCAAACUCCUACGGGAGGCAGCAGUGAGGAAUAUUGGUCAAUGGCCGAGAGGCUGAACCAGCCAAGUCGCGUGAAGGAAGAAGGAUCUAUGGUUUGUAAACUUCUUUUAUAGGGGAAUAAAGUGGAGGACGUGUCCUUUUUUGUAUGUACCCUAUGAAUAAGCAUCGGCUAACUCCGUGCCAGCAGCCGCGGUAAUACGGAGGAUGCGAGCGUUAUCCGGAUUUAUUGGGUUUAAAGGGUGCGUAGGUGGUGAUUUAAGUCAGCGGUGAAAGUUUGUGGCUCAACCAUAAAAUUGCCGUUGAAACUGGGUUACUUGAGUGUGUUUGAGGUAGGCGGAAUGCGUGGUGUAGCGGUGAAAUGCAUAGAUAUCACGCAGAACUCCGAUUGCGAAGGCAGCUUACUAAACCAUAACUGACACUGAAGCACGAAAGCGUGGGGAUCAAACAGGAUUAGAUACCCUGGUAGUCCACGCAGUAAACGAAAGUGACUAGGAGUUUGCGAUACAAUGUAAGCUCUACAG
rnacentral:rRNA from 1 species